GCCGGGCAUGGUGGUGGGUGCCUGUAAUCCCAGCUACUCAGGAGGCUGAGGCAGGAGAAUCACUUGAACCCAGGAGGCGGAGGUUGCAGUGAGCAGAGAUAGCGCCAUCGCACUCCAGCCUGGGUGACAGAGUGAGACUAUGUCUCUU
rnacentral:sRNA from 1 species